rnacentral:rRNA from 1 species
UGAACGCUGGCGGCGUGCCUAAUACAUGCAAGUCGAGCGAACAGACGAGGAGCUUGCUCCUCUGACGUUAGCGGCGGACGGGUGAGUAACACGUGGAUAACCUACCUAUAAGACUGGGAUAACUUCGGGAAACCGGAGCUAAUACCGGAUAAUAUAUUGAACCGCAUGGUUCAAUAGUGAAAGACGGUUUUGCUGUCACUUAUAGAUGGAUCCGCGCCGCAUUAGCUAGUUGGUAAGGUAACGGCUUACCAAGGCGACGAUGCGUAGCCGACCUGAGAGGGUGAUCGGCCACACUGGAACUGAGACACGGUCCAGACUCCUACGGGAGGCAGCAGUAGGGAAUCUUCCGCAAUGGGCGAAAGCUUGACGGAGCAACGCCGCGUGAGUGAUGAAGGUCUUCGGAUCGUAAAACUCUGUUAUUAGGGAAGAACAAAUGUGUAAGUAACUAUGCACGUCUUGACGGUACCUAAUCAGAAAGCCACGGCUAACUACGU